UUUGCAGCCAUCUGUCUGAUAGAAAAGCGCCCUUAUGUAAGUGAAGCCAGAUCAGCAGGUAGGGCAUGGUACUAGUUGAGUUAGCACAUGGAUAACUUCAUUCUUCUCAACAGUGAUGGCUUCACUAUUCUUGGUCACCAUCAACAUCAUCAGAAACGUUUAUAUUAAGAGCAGCUCUUCUGCCCACCUGUUCCAGGAGUACAAUUACGAGAUCAAAGAACAAAAGACCUACAAGAUGCAAGAAGCAAAACCAUGCCAAAAUGAGGAGGCUGACUUGUCCAGCAAGGGGUGAUGAUGUUCAUGACAGAAUACAGGGAACCUGAAGGCAAAGCAUCAAAAGCAUUGCUCAAGCCAUGGGAUGUCAAACAGAUUGCUUCCUCCUCAGCCACUCGGAUAGCGACCCUCCCAAAUCAGAGGUGGUUAUACUCUCAUGCUCAUCAACUGGUUCUUUAAAAUUUCCAGUAUUGAAGACUCCUGCAAAUCCCAAGCAAUCCAAGCAACCCUUUCCAGAGCGCCCUGCCCUCCUGUUAGAUGUCUGAGAACAAAGGGGAGAACAAUGCUGAAAGACCAUCUUGCACAUCUUGCCCAGAUGGAUACAACUUCUGGUACACAGGGCCAUGCCUUCUGUCUUGCUGGUUUUGAGGAGGAGAUUCAUUUUAUUUUGGUUGUGUUUUUGUUUCUAUUGGUGGGUGCAGGGGCAGCAAAUGGUGUUUGUCCAUUAAUCUGUCUUUGCUGAGCAUGCUGGGAUCUAGCAGAGUUCAAAGAAAGCUUGUGUAUUACUGCAUGUGAGUGCCUGAAUCAAACCCUGUGAAUUUGGAUGCAUGGUUCAUUAGUCUCUGGGUUAAUGCUUCCUUUUGAAAGGGCAGUUUGGAGCAGAUCAGACAGUUUCAGAGCACCUGCAUGCAGCUCAAGUGAGGAUACUAAGCACCAAGUGAUCGGGUGUGAAUCCCAGUUUCCAUGUGCCUAUUGUUCUCCUGGACAAAAGUCACUCAAUGACUACUCAAUGGACUUGAGAGAUGGAAGAACAACCAAAGUGGAUGCAGGUGGGAAGUGCCAAGGAACUCUGCUUCAGCACAUCUGCUCAUGUGGAAAUCAAAGAAUCACAAUUGUUUGAGUUGGAAGGGACGGUUGAAGGCCAUCUAACCCAACUUCCCUGCAACGACCAGAGACACCUACAGGAUUAGGCUGCUCUGCUUCUCUGCCAGUGGAAGCAAAACUCAGGAUCAAACUGACAGAAGGAGCAAUUGGAAUACACACAAUUAGCGUAGUCCCUACAGAAUAGCAUCUGCAAGGUAAGGCUGUGCAGCCCAUUACCAAACAGUGCACAACGUGAGCGUUAUGUUAGCUGAAAACCAAACAAACAAAUCUAAUAGGACUGAGUGCAUCCAAUGUCCUGCUCUUUCCCCAUCACUGAGCAUUUCUUAGUACCUUAUUUUUUUUCAUACUCG